UACGAAGGGGGCUAGCGUUGUUCGGAAUCACUGGGCGUAAAGGGCGCGUAGGCGGCCGAUCAAGUCGGGGGUGAAAGCCUGUGGCUCAACCACAGAAUGGCCUUCGAUACUGUUCGGCUCGAGACCGGAAGAGGUGAGUGGAACUGCGAGUGUAGAGGUGAAAUUCGUUGAUAUUCGCAAGAACACCAGUGGCGAAGGCGGCUCACUGGUCCGGUUCUGACGCUGAGGCGCGAAAGCGUGGGGAGCAAACAGG
rnacentral:rRNA from 1 species